AGUGUAGGUGGCAUUGUAAGUUAAAUGUGAAAUCCCACGGCUUAACCGUGGAACUGCAUUUAAAACUGCAAAGCUUGAGUGCGGAAGAGGUAGAUGGAAUGGGUAGUGUAGCGGUGGAAUGCGUUGAUAUUACCUGGAACACCAGAGGCGAAGGCGAUCUACUGGGACGUAACUGACACUGAAACUCGAAAGCGUGGGGAGCAAACAGGAUUAGAUACCCUGGUAGUCCACGCCCUAAACGAUGGAUAUUAGACGAGGGAGGUAUCGACUCCUCCCGUGUCGUAGCUAACGCGUUAAAUAUCCCGCCUGGGAGUACGGCCGCAAGGUUGAA
rnacentral:rRNA from 1 species